rnacentral:rRNA from 1 species
GUUACUGACGCUGAGGCUCGAAAGCGUGGGGAGCAAACAGGAUUAGAUACCUGGUAGUCCACGCGUAAACGAUGAGUGCUAAGUGUUAGGGGUUCCGCCCUUAGUGCUGCAGCUAACGCAUUAAGCACUCCGCUGGGGAGUACGACCGCAAGGUUGAAACUCAAAGGAAUUGACGGGGGCCCGCACAAGCGGUGGAGCAUGUGGUUUAAUUCGAAGCAACGCGAAGAACCUUACCAGGUCUUGACAUCCUUUGACAACUCUAGAGAUAGAGCUUUCCCUUCGGGGACAAAGUGACAGGUGGUGCAUGGUUGUCGUCAGCUCGUGUCGUGAGAUGUUGGGUUAAGUCCCGCAACGAGCGCAACCCUUAUUGUUAGUUGCCAUCAUUCAGUUGGGCACUCUAGCGAAACUGCCGGUGACAAACCGGAGGAAGGUGGGGAUGACGUCAAAUCAUCAUGCCCCUUAUGACCUGGGCUACACACGUGCUACAAUGGACAGUACAAUGAGCAGCGACACGGCGACGUGAAGCGAAUCUCAUAAAGCUGUUCUCAGUUCGGAUUGUAGGCUGCAACUCGCCUACAUGAAGCCGGAAUCGCUAGUAAUCGCGGAUCAGCACGCCGCGGUGAAUACGUUCCCGGGCCUUGUACACACCGCCCGUCACACCACGAAAGUUUGUAACACCCAAAGUCGGUGAGGUAACCUUCGGGAGCCAGCCGCCUAAGGUGGGAUAGAUGAUUGGGGUGAAGUCGUAACAAGGUAACCA